rnacentral:lncRNA from 1 species
UAAAAAUAGGAAACACACAGACACACAAGUAUAUAUCACUGUGAGUAUACUGUAAAUUCUUGUUUUUUCUUCUUUCUGUUUCUUAAAUAUACUAAGAUAAUUCUCACGAGUUACUCCUCUCUGCUAGAACACUAGUAUUUCCACUCAAAUUCACCUUCUUAAAAAGACCUAUUAAACUACCAAUUAUAUGUUCACCAUUUCGGUAAUGGCUAUGCUAGAAGCCCAAUCUCCACCAGAAUGCAAUAUACCCAGGUAACAAACAUGCACCAAGUACUCCCUGAAUCUAAAAUAAAAUUAAAUUUAAAAUUUAAAAAUUAAGGCCGGGCAUGGUGGCUCACGCCUGUAAUCCUGGCACUUUGGGAGGCUGAGAUGGGUGGAUCACUUGAACUCAGGAGUUGUAGAGCAGUCUGGCCAAUGUGAUGAAACCCCGUCUCUACUAAAAAUACAAAAAUUAGCCGGGUGUGGUGG